rnacentral:lncRNA from 1 species
GGCGGGACUGCCUGUUUGUUGCUGUCCAUAGGGGCGGGACUUCCUGCUUUACCCUGGCGGCGGAGGCGGGACUUCCUGCUCUGCUGCCGGUGGGGGGGCGGGACUUCCUGCCUGGCUCUGCCUACAGAGGCGGGACUUCCUGUUCUGCUCUAAGGGGGAAGGGAACGACUUCCUGUUUGCUAUGGGGGCGGGACUUCCUGUUCGUUAUGGGGGCGGGACUUCCUGCUUCCACUCCGACCCCGCCCACCCCCAGGGAAGGGCCCCAGGGCGCUGUGGGGCUGGGAGCUAUGGGGCGCUGUGGGGCGCUGUGGGGUGCUGUGGGGCACCAUGGGGCUCUAUGGGACUCUAUGGGGCGCUGUGGGGCGCUGUGGGGCAAGGCACUGUGGGGUGCUGUGGGGUGUUAUGGGGCGCUAUGGGGCACUGUAGGGUGCUGUGGGGCUGGAUGCUGUGGGGCUGGGAGCUAUGGGGCGCUGUGGGGCACUGUGGGGCGUUACGGGGUGCUAUGGGGCGCUGUGGGGCGUUACGGGCGCUAUGGGGCGCUGUGGGGCACCACAAGUGCCAUGGGGCUGGGGGUGUAGGGGUCAGGGUGCUGUGGGCGCUAUGGGGCUGGGCCCUAUAUCGGGGCAAUCGCACGGCACCCCCAGGUACUUGGGGGUGCUGGGAGAGGGAGGGGGGCACC